rnacentral:rRNA from 1 species
UACGAAGGGGGCUAGCGUUGCUCGGAAUCACUGGGCGUAAAGAGCGUGUAGGCGGCUCUGCAAGUCCUGCGUGAAAUCUCGAGGCUCAACCUCGAGCGGUCGUGGGAAACUGGAGGGCUAGAGUGCGGGAGAGGGAAGUGGAAUUCCAGGUGUAGCGGUGAAAUGCGCAGAUAUCUGGAAGAACACCCGUGGCGAAGGCGGCUUCCUGGAACGACACUGACGCUGAGACGCGAAAGCGUGGGGAGCAAACAGG